AUCAAUAUCUGGGAAAAUAAGAUUCAGCUGAAGUGUUGGGUUUUCUUUAACCUAUAGAAUGACAUAGGCUGAGAAGGACGUCCUUUCCGUACACCUCUUCAGAGCCAUCCUGCUCAAGCUAAUACAAAUUUAGGUGUUUCUAUAUGGUGAUUUUUUUUUUAAAGGAAAGAUACUUGUUCUGCAAUUUUUCUAAGGUUGUUCUCAAAGGCGGGUCCCACCGCCUCGUGCAGACCCUGCUCAGCAAGAGCAUCACACCCCGACCCCAACAAUUCACCAUCCAAAGGGCUACAAAGACGUUCCAAGCACAGAUUUUCUCCCGUCUGCGCACGAAGACGGCUACGGACAUUCCAGCCCCGCUCCCUGCACAGCUUAGGCACCCAUCGAUGGCAGCUGGGCAAAGGUUUCUGCAACACCCUAGAGCUGAUCAUUGAUCUCUCACAGCCACACUGCCAACAAAAAGGAAAGUUUUCCGGUCACCAGCCCGUCACGUGCUCAGGAUAUCCUUUCAGCUUCCAUUCCGCCUGCCUCUGGCCAGCUCACUGCAGCAAUGGGCUGCUUUGGGAGUUGGAACAGCUUGGAGACAUUCAAGCAAGAGACAGGGCUGCAUGAUGUCCCAUUCCAGGGUGGGGACAGAAGUGGCCCAGCCAGCUGCUGCCAGCUCUGGGUUCCUGGGAAAGCAGUGGCUGAUCCUGCCAGGAGCCCAGUGCAAAGAGAAUGAUGGAGAUGAUACAGGCAUGACCACAGGUCAGAGGGGCUGAAGCCCAGCACUUCACUUCUGGUCUGAAAGUCCUUCAGAAAAAAAAGAACAAACCAUUUUAAAAGGGCACAGAAAAGAAAAUGGUGCAGUUAUUGGCCCCAGCAGUCAGUCUCUUGUCAUAGGCUGCUGCCUUCAGCUGCUGGUCCAGCUCAGAGAGCUGAGACCACAUAAUUUUCUGUAACAUUGCUCAACUGUGAUUCGAAUAAAGCAUUAGAUGG